rnacentral:rRNA from 1 species
UCAGUUGGCUUAUAAUUGAAGUCUAGUAUGAAUGGGAACUCGGGGAUAUUCUGUCCUUUAUUUACGAUUAGAAAUUACUAAUUAAGUGAAAAUUCUUAAACCUUUAGAAAAAAGACGAGAAGACCCUAGAAAUUUUUUAUUAUAUAUUUUGUUGGGGCGACAAGGUAACAUAAAACUUACCUAUACAAUAGGAAAUUUUUAAAUUGGGUAAAUAAAUUACUCUAGGGAUAACAGCAUAAUAUUUUAAAGUUUGUGACCUCGAUGUUGGACUAGGAAAUACCCUACU